UGAGGGAGUAGACAGAAGACCUAGAGUGCUACGACACUGAGACACUCUUGUGGAGGAUUUUGACUUCAUCUCUUCUCCCUGGCCAAUUCCUAACGUCUGUAUCCAAAAUGAAGGUGAGAUUCUUAAAUUCGUGGGUGUCCACGUCUCUAUUCAUAGUUCAGCCAAGGUCUUGUCCUGCAAAAAGUGUUUAGUUAGCUGUCGUUCAAUCUUUGCUCAAGUAGUUGAGGUCAAAACAUGAAGUCUUUUGGGUAUAAUACUUGUCAUAUAUGAUGGAACAAGUAAAGUA
rnacentral:lncRNA from 1 species